UACGGAGGGGGCUAGCGUUGUUCGGAAUUACUGGGCGUAAAGGGCUCGUAGGCGGUUUGUCGCGUCGGGAGUGAAAUCCACUGGCUUAACUGGUGGCUUGCUUUCGAUACGGGCAGACUGGAGGUAUGCAGGGGAGAACGGAAUUCCUGGUGUAGCGGUGAAAUGCGCAGAUAUCAGGAGGAACACCGGUGGCGAAGGCGGUUCUCUGGGCAUGUCCUGACGCUGAGGAGCGAAAGUGUGGGGAGCGAACAGG
rnacentral:rRNA from 1 species